AGUGAACGCUGGCGGCAGGCCUAACACAUGCAAGUCGAGCGGCAGCGGGUCCUUCGGGAUGCCGGCGAGCGGCGGACGGGUGAGGAAUGCAUCGGAAUCUGCCCUGUCGUGGGGGAUAACCUAGGGAAACUUAGGCUAAUACCGCAUACGACCCACGGUUGAAAGCGGGGGAUCGCAAGACCUCGCGCGAUAGGAUGAGCCGUUGUCCGAUUAGCUAGUUGGCGGGGUAAAGGCCCACCAAGGCGACGAUCGGUAGCUGGUCUGAGAGGAUGAUCAGCCACACUGGGACUGAGACACGGCCCAGACUCCUACGGGAGGCAGCAGUGGGGAAUAUUGGACAAUGGGCGCAAGCCUGAUCCAGCCAUGCCGCGUGGGUGAAGAAGGCCUUCGGGUUGUAAAGCCCUUUUGUCCGGGAAGAAAUCGUCUGGGCUAAUACCCCGGGCGGAUGACGGUACCGGAAGAAUAAGCACCGGCUAACUUCGCG
rnacentral:rRNA from 1 species